GACGAACGCUGGCGGCGUGCUUAACACAUGCAAGUCGAACGGAAAGGCCCUGCUUUUGUGGGGUGCUCGAGUGGCGAACGGGUGAGUAACACGUGAGUAACCUGCCCUUGACUUUGGGAUAACUUCAGGAAACUGGGGCUAAUACCGGAUAGGAGCUCCUGCUGCAUGGUGGGGGUUGGAAAGUUUCGGCGGUUGGGGAUGGACUCGCGGCUUAUCAGCUUGUUGGUGGGGUAGUGGCUUACCAAGGCUUUGACGGGUAGCCGGCCUGAGAGGGUGACCGGCCACAUUGGGACUGAGAUACGGCCCAGACUCCUACGGGAGGCAGCAGUGGGGAAUAUUGCACAAUGGGCGGAAGCCUGAUGCAGCAACGCCGCGUGCGGGAUGACGGCCUUCGGGUUGAAACCGCUUUCGCCUGUGACGAAGCGUGAGUGACGGUAAUGGGUAAAGAAGCACCGGCUAACUACGUG
rnacentral:rRNA from 1 species